rnacentral:lncRNA from 1 species
ACAGUUCAUAAUAUCCAUAACAUUCUAUGCAUGGCAAUCACAUCAUAUUUCAUUUCAUUUCAAUAUAUUUUUCAUUUAAAUUUGAUUUCUGGGGAAAUCGAGUAUAUAGGUAUAUAUAUGUAGAAAGCAAUGCCCACUCACUGGUAUGUCGCCGGGUCGUAACCCCCUUGACGCCCCUGGAUGUGCUCGUCCUCGUUAUAAGUUCCACCUAGAAGUGAAAUAACUUAAAACAAUCAUUUAACGCACAAUUAACGCACCUAAACCAAACUAGGUAAUAAAUUCUUCAUACGAUGCUCAAAUUGGGUAUAUGAAUAUACCACAGUGACCUACACAACCUCAGGAUCAUCCCCAUAAUUUUAAAAUAAUUUUUGGAGGCCUCACGCGCCCCCACGCGCCUGACGUGGCACGGACCUACGCGCGGCCCACGCGCAGCCACGUGCCAGGCACACUGACGGUACAGUGAACGGCGUUAGGAAUAUUCCAGGAAUAUUCCGUUAAAAACUAACGGUUUCCGUUAAAGUUAACUAACGGCGUCGGAAUAUUCCGUCAAACUUGACGGAAGAUUCCCUGUCUUCUCCGGCGAGUCGCCGGUCGCCGGCGGCUGUUCGCCGGUUUCUGGAAAAUUUUCAAAUCCACUAUUCUCCUUCGUUUUUCAACCAAUUUCUUCGCAUUUUAUACCAAAAUGAAGCAUUUCACAUGUACUAUCACGUUGGAAGGGUUUUAAGGCCUA